GACGCGAAGAAACGACGAUGGAUAUUCGAAAGAUGUGGGAAAUAUAAUAGCCGCCCCUUUUAAUCUCGUGUCUGUGAUAUAAAUAGGCAAACCAUGAAAGAAAAUAAAAUGAAGAAUCGUAUAUAGUUUUAGUUAUGUACGUGGCUCUUCUUUGUGUGCGGCACAGUUUGAAAAAUCGUUUCAAAACUGUUGUUUUUUUGGACGACACGUCGUUGAAAUUCUCUCCGUCACUUCUCCUAUUCCCUUGUCCGCCAUAGCCAGUGCUCUUCUGUAUCGUAUCGUAAAACACUCG